UACGAAGGGGGCUAGCGUUGCUCGGAAUCACUGGGCGUAAAGGGUGCGUAGGCGGGUCUUUAAGUCAGGGGUGAAAUCCUGGAGCUCAACUCCAGAACUGCCUUUGAUACUGAGGAUCUUGAGUUCGGGAGAGGUGAGUGGAACUCCGAGUGUAGAGGUGAAAUUCGUAGAUAUUCGGAAGAACACCAGUGGCGAAGGCGGCUCACUGGCCCGGUACUGACGCUGAGGUGCGAAAGCGUGGGGAGCAAACAGG
rnacentral:rRNA from 1 species